rnacentral:rRNA from 1 species
UUCCAGCUCCAAUAGCGUAUAUUAAAGUUGUUGCGGUUAAAAAGCUCGUAGUUGAAUUUGUGUCCCGCACUGUCGGUUCACCGCCCGCGGUGCUAACUGGCAUGUUUGCGGGACGUCCUGCCGGUGGAUGUUCAGUUGUUAUUUGAUCCUUUGGGUUAUUUACAACUUCAUCCGACUUUGAAAUCCUGUCGCGGUGCUCUUAAUUGAGUGUCGAGGCGGGCCGGCACGUUUACUUUGAACAAAUUAAAGUGCUCAAAGCAGGCUAAUUAAUGCCUGAAUAAUUAGUGCAUGGAAUAAUGAAACAGGACCUUGGUUCUAUUUUGUUGGUUUUCGGAACCCCAAGGUAAUGAUUAAUAGGGACAGAUGG